rnacentral:rRNA from 1 species
GUUAUUAAUUAAAUUAUUUGUAGUUUAAUUUUAAUCUUAAUAGUUAAUAAAAAUAAUUUUUAUUUAAUUAGUUUUAGUAUUUAAUGGGAAUUAAAUUUAAUUUAUUAUAGUGGAUUAGUAUUGUGUAAGAAUUUUGAAAUAGGUUGAAAAUUAAAAUUUUAAAAAGUAAAAUUUAAUUUUUGUACCUUGUGUAUCAGGGUUUAUUAAAUAAACAAUAUAAAUUUUUAUUUUUCUCGAAUUUAAAAGAUUUAUUUAAUUAUAAAAUUUAAUGUAGAAAAAUUAUUUUUAAUAAUUUAAUAGGAAUGAAAAGUUAUUCGUUUUUAAAUAUAUCUAGUUUUUUAAGAAAUAAAUUUAAUUUAUAUUUUAAUUUUUAUUAAUUUUUUUAUUAAUAUAAUUAAAUUAAAAUAAAUAUUUUAAGGGAUAAGCUUUAAAAUAAAUUUUUAAAAUUUUUGUUAAUUUAAUUUAUUUAAAUAGGGUUAGAAAUAUCUUUUUUUUGUAAAAAUGUUACAAUUUAAGUUAAAGUUAAGGGUAAAAUUUUUAUUAAUUUAAUAGUUUAUUAAAAUAAUAUAAUUAAUUAAUAUUUAUAUGAAAUAAUGAUAAAAUUAGUAAAUUUUAAUUGUUUAUUAUAUAUAUAUAUAAUUUGAAAGGUUUAUGUAAAGGAAUUCGGCAAAAUAUUAUAUUAUUCACCUGUUUAACAAAAACAUGUCUUUUUGAUUAUAAUUUAAAGUCGGGUCUGCUCAAUGAAUAAAAAUUUAAAUGGCUGCGGUAUAUUGACCGUGCAAAGGUAGCAUAAUAAUUUGUCUUUUAAUUAAAGGCUGGUAUGAAAGAUUUGAUGAAAUAAUAGCUGUCUCUAUAAAAUUAUUAGUUGAAUUUAAUUUUUUAGUUAAAAAGCUAAAAUUUAAUUAAAGGACAAGAAGACCCUAUAGAGUUUAAUAAUUAAUAAUUUAAUUUUAUUUUAAUUUAAUUAUCUUAGAUUAUUUAUUAUUUUGUUGGGGUGAUAGGAAAAUUUAAUAAACUUUUUUAUAUUUAUAAAACAUUGAUUUAUGAAUUUUUGAUCUUGUAUUUUAGAUUAUUAGAAUAAAUUACCUUAGGGAUAACAGCGUUAUUUUUUUUAGAGUUCUUAUUGAUAAAAAAGAUUGCGACCUCGAUGUUGGAUUAAAAUAAUUAUUAGGUGUAGAAGCUUAAUUUGUAGGUCUGUUCGACCUUUAAAAUUUUACAUGAUCUGAGUUCAAACCGGUGUGAGCCAGGUUGGUUUCUAUCUUUAAUUUAUGUAUAUAAAUUUUUAGUACGAAAGGACCAAAAUUUAAAAAUAAUUUUUAUUAAAAUUAAUGUUUAGUAAUAAAUU